rnacentral:rRNA from 1 species
GGGUCAGUAGGUUGGUCGUGCCACCGGUACGUACUGGUCUCACUGAUUCCUCCUUCCUGAAGAACCGUAAUGCCAUUAAUUUGGUGUUGCGGGGAAACAGGACUGUUACUUUGAAAAAAUUAGAGUGUUUAAAGCAAGCUAACGCUUGAAUACAUUAGCAUGGGAUAAUGAAAUAGGACGAUCGAUCCUAUUUUGUUGGUUCCUAGGAUUGACGUA